AUUGAACGCUGGCGGCAGGCCUAACACAUGCAAGUCGAGCGGAUGAAGGGAGCUUGCUCCUGGAUUCAGCGGCGGACGGGUGGGUAAUGCCUAGGAAUCUGCCUGGUAGUGGGGGAUAACGUCCGGAAACGGGCGCUAAUACCGCAUACGUCCUGAGGGAGAAAGUGGGGGAUCUUCGGACCUCACGCUAUCAGAUGAGCCUAGGUCGGAUUAGCUAGUUGGUGGGGUAAAGGCCUACAAAGGCGACGAUCCGUAACUGGUCUGAGAGGCUGAUCAGUCACACUGGAACUGAGACACGGUCCAGACUCCUACGGGAGGCAGCAGUGGGGAAUAUUGGACAAUGGGCGAAAGCCUGAUCCAGCCAUGCCGCGUGUGUGAAGAAGGUCUUCGGAUUGUAAAGCACUUUAAGUUGGGAGGAAGGGCAGUAAGUUAAUACCUUGCUGUUUUGACGGUACCAACAGAAUAAGCACCGGCUAACUUCGUG
rnacentral:rRNA from 1 species